AUUGAACGCUGGCGGCAGGCCUAACACAUGCAAGUCGAGCGGAGCGGCGGACGGGUGAGUAAUGCCUAGGAAUCUGCCUGGUAGUGGGGGAUAACGUCAGGAAACGGGCGCUAAUACCGCAUACUAUCAGAUGAGCCUAGGUCGGAUUAGCUAGGUGGUGGGGUAAAGGCAUACCAAGGCGACGAACCGUAACUGGUCUGAGAGGAUGAGCAGUCACACUGGAACGUAGACACGGUCCGGAAUCCUACGGGGGGCAUGAGUGGGGAAUAUUGGAAAAUGGGCGAAAGCCUGAUACAGCCAUGCCGCGUGUGUGAAGAAGGUCUUCGGAUUGUAAAGCACUUUAAGUUGGGAGGCGUUACCAACAGAAUAAGCACCGGCUAACUGCGUGCCAGCAGCCGCGGUAAUUC
rnacentral:rRNA from 1 species